AAAGCCAGGUUUUUUUUCACACUAUAAAGUGAUCAAACAUUUCUAUUUGUAGAUUCAUAAAAGAAAAAUAUGGCUAAAGUUAAUAUAUUUAUUUGUGCUAUGAUUAUCUAUUUUUUCCUAUUUACUUCUAUAACAAACGGCAAUAUUGAAGGUUAUUGCCUAGAGGAUAUAGAUUGUCGAAACCAUUUGUGUAUCUCUCCACAAGUUGCAUUUUGCGAUUAUUUUGAACAUGCGUGUGAUUGUCAAGACCCACCCAAGAAGCCAAAAUAUUAGUCCAAAUAAAUAAAUAAAUAAUUACCCUGAAAGUUAAUUGAAAAAUAAUACGGAGUAAUAUGUUAUUUUUACUCAGUUGUUUUUUAUGAUUUAUUUUGUAUUUGUUAUAAAUAUUAUCGGUGGAUGCUAUAUAAUUGGUCCAUUAUAUUUUAUCUA